rnacentral:lncRNA from 11 species
CUUGUGGCUUGGGAACGUUUCUACUACUCUGCUGAAGGAGCGCCUGAUGAGGAGGAGAGCUCAAUUGCAACUGUGCUGAAAACACCUGCGAAGAGGAGGGCUUGACACUUGGGAUAGCUCUACACAGUCCUGUGUGACUAGGGUGGCCCUUUUCUCAGCAGGAGAAUGCGGUGGGCCAGGGCCAUGAGGAGGGUAUGAUGUAUGGCUGGGGCCAAGGGCCCAAGGGGCCCAUGCCUGGUGUAGAUGUACUCAUAGAUCUAGGCCUGGGGCUGAGGAGGCUGCCUGCAAGCCGCCACAUGGGGCUGUCUUUGCCCUUGCACCCCGGAGCCGCCCUCGGCGCUUCCCCUUGCUGCCUCGCUGAAUCCUUCAGUUGGAGUAUAGAUGUUGUAAAGAUGUUUAAGAGUAACAAGGAGGAGGGUAUGAUUAAAUACUCUUCUAUUUGGUUCCACAUCCCUCCCCUGCCAAAGCAACAUUUCUUCAUAUUUUACAAGCUCCUGCCUGAAUUUGUGAAAGACUGAUUCUGGAACUGUUUGCAGGCAAAAGAAGAUAAGACCUUUGUAAGAUCCCUGUGAGAUCGAAGACCUGCCUAAUCCUGCAUCCUGUUUCUCCUCCUCUCCUCCCCAAAUGCCUCCAGGAAGCCCAGAAGCAGAACAGAAGUGCAAUAACCUUGUUCGAUGGUUGUUUCCCAGCAACCGUUGGCAUAUAUUCAGCAACCGAUGUUCAGAAGUAUCAUAUAGCCUUCAUGACUAAUCCACUGUCAUGAAAAAAGUGUGCAUUAAAAAGAACAGCGAAUGAGCGUCAGUACCAACGAAGAAGCAGAACUUCUGACACACACUUGGUGUCUUAUUCUUUUUAUUGUUCAGCAGUUUCCUUUUUGUUCUGUCAGAGAGAAAAGGUGAGUUGUCUUUACAGCGAUGUUGCUGUUAUACUUCAGGCCCACUUUGCUUGCUUCUUUUUUUCACCAGAAGAGAGAAAAAAAAACACAGUAUAAUUGCCUAGCAACUGCAAGGCAUUCACUCCUAAGACACUUUAUUGACAGAUUGUGAAAAGCAGCGACCCUAACCAUUAUUUAUCCUUAUGUAUGCAAAAAAUAAAAAUAAAAUUGCACUCUCUUGCCUGCAAAGAAAUGCCAUUGCAACAUUCCUCUGGUUAGUUUAAAGUUCUGGGAAAACUCUGCCUGGCUCCUUCCCUUUUUUCCAUUGUGUUUCAUAAUUUAUUAUAUUGAAGAUAUAAGGAAUCACUGAUGAAAGCAGUGAAGAUAAAGAAUAUGCUUGAACAUGUAAAGUGAAUUUUAAAAAUGCAAAUCUAAAUUCAUUAUCUACUCAUUCUUGAAUAGUAUACUCACUAUUCAAUUGCACACCACUAUACUUCAAUAGUGUUUCAAGAGAUACCAACCUUUUGUCAGUUGAAUUCAUUGUGAAACUGUGGAUUGCAUUUCCUGAAUGUCUGCUUCCACAAAGUAGAGAAAUUUAUUCUAGAAGCCAGUUUUCAAACCAAGCUCCAUUUCUACAGAUGUUUUAUGUACACAUUCAACUUCAGUACCAUGGAAACCGGUACUGAAAGCAUUAAGAUUACUCAAAGGAAAAAGCUUUGAUUAAAAUUGAG